AGAGUUUGAUCAUGGCUCAGGAUGAACGCUGGCGGCGUGCCUAACACAUGCAAGUCGAACGGAUUUUUCAUGAAGCCUAGCGAUUGAAAAGUUAGUGGCGGACGGGUGAGUAACGCGUGGGUAACCUGCCUUGUACUGGGGGACAACAGUUGGAAACGACUGCUAAUACCGCAUAAGCGCACAGCUUCGCAUGAAGCAGUGUGAAAAACUCCGGUGGUACAAGAUGGACCCGCGUCUGAUUAGCUGGUUGGUGAGGUAACGGCCACCAAGGCAACGAUCAGUAGCCGGCCUGAGAGGGUNAACGGCCACAUUGGGACUGAGACACGGCCCAAACUCCGUACGGGAGGCA
rnacentral:rRNA from 1 species